rnacentral:rRNA from 1 species
UGGGGAAUAUUGCACAAUGGGCGCAAGCCUGAUGCAGCCAUGCCGCGUGUAUGAAGAAGGCCUUCGGGUUGUAAAGUACUUUCAGUCGGGAGGAAGGUGUCAAGGUUAAUAACCUUGGCAAUUGACGUUACCGACAGAAGAAGCACCGGCUAACUCCGUGCCAGCAGCCGCGGUAAUACGGAGGGUGCAAGCGUUAAUCGGAAUUACUGGGCGUAAAGCGCACGCAGGCGGUUGAUUGAGUCAGAUGUGAAAUCCCCGGGCUUAACCCGGGAAUUGCAUCUGAUACUGGUCAGCUAGAGUCUUGUAGAGGGGGGUAGAAUUCCAUGUGUAGCGAUGAAAUGCGUAGAGAUGUGGAGGAAUACCGGUGGCGAAGGCGGCCCCCUGGACAAAGACUGACGCUCAGGUGCGAAAGCGUGGGGAGCAAACAGG